UCAUUGUGCCAUCCAACUAUUGUGACAUGAUGGAAAGUUACAGCAAAGUGGACAUGUGACUAGGAAGGGAUCAAUUCUGAAAAAUGUCAAAAAUAUGCCCCAAACUUACUAUUAUUCCAGGAGAGGUUGUAAGAAUAGAUUUGAAGGGUUGCCAUGUGGACGAUAUUUAUUUUAUUCGGAUUGGUUCUAGACAGAGAGCCAGAUUUCAGUUCAAUGGAAGGUGACAGUGACUGAAAAAUAGAGCUAUAUCAAAGUGAAGUGGGAUACUGAAGGAGAUUGUGAAUCCCCAUCUUUGGAACUCUUCCAAUAAAGGCUGGAUGACCACUUGUCUUCUUGGAUGAGAAGAUCUUUUAGUUUUCUUUCAAAUUUUUAAUUCUUUGAAGAAGAAUUUAAUCUGUUUUUAUCCUUAUAGCCUGAUUGGGCACCUGAUGUUUAUAGUUAUUUUCUAGGCUAGGAGCUGUGAUAACUAAUUCUGAUGUAACCUAUGAGACAUUCAAUAGGCAUUGCCCAUUGCAUUGUGACAUCUGGUAGAGAUUGAUUCAUAAUAGAUCUAUUAGGGGGUGGAGCCAAGAUGGCAGUGUAGUGGUAGUAGGAGUUUUCUGAAUCUCCUUCCAACUGAUAAUUACAAAGCAUCUCAAAAGGACAGAAAUAAAAAACCAGACAAGUAAAGAGGCUCUCCCACUGGACAUAGCUUUAAAGGCCUCCCCCAAAUGCUCAACAUUCCUCUGAGACCUCUGAGGGGUCCCCAGCCUGGUCAAAGGCGUCUUCAAGCACAGCGAUGAGUCUGGUCAGAGAAGGAUUGGAAAGGGUGAAAUGGACACAGCACUGGCCCCCUCUGUUAUCAAGACAUAUGGAAAAGGAGGAAGGAUGGAUCUUCUUAGUCAUCACUGCUCAAGGCAAUAGGCCAGUAAAAUUGCCUGCCUUUCUCCUGGGAAGGAUACUGUCCUUAUCACCGAGCACCCACUCGCUUCUGUCCAUAUCUCAUAAUUAAGCACUUUCACAAUU